UACGUAGGUGGCAAGCGUUGUCCGGAUUUACUGGGCGUAAAGGGCGUGCAGGCGGUCUGUUAAGUUCAGGGUGAAAGCUCCCGGCUCAACUGGGCGAGGUCCGUGGAAACUGGUCAGCUGGAGGACGGUAGAGGCGAGUGGAAUUCCCGGUGUAGUGGUGAAAUGCGUAGAGAUCGGGAGGAACACCUGUGGCGAAGGCGGCUCGCUGGGCCGGUCCUGACGCUGAGACGCGAAGGCGUGGGGAGCGAACGGG
rnacentral:rRNA from 1 species